UACGAAGGGGGCUAGCGUUGCUCGGAAUGACUGGGCGUAAAGGGCGCGUAGGCGGAUUGUACAGUCAGGCGUGAAAUUCCCGGGCUCAACCUGGGGGCUGCGCUUGAGACGUGCGAUCUUGAGUGGGGAAGAGGGUCGUGGAAUUCCCAGUGUAGAGGUGGAAUUCGUAGAUAUUAGGAAGAACACCAGUGGCGAAGGCGGCUCACUGGUCCGGUACUGACGCUGAGGUGCGAAAGCGUGGGGAGCAAACAGG
rnacentral:rRNA from 1 species